GCAGUGGUGGCUCAGUGCUAGAGCUCUCGCCUUGCAUCCAGAAGAAAAACCUGGGUUCAAUUCCCGGCCAGGGCA
rnacentral:tRNA from 1 species